rnacentral:rRNA from 1 species
AACGAACGCUGGCGGCAGGCUUAAUACAUGCAAGUCGAGCGCGUAGCAAUACGAGCGGCAGACGGGUGAGUAACGCGUGGGAAUCUACCCAGCUCUACGGAAUAACCCAGGGAAACUUGGGCUAAUACCGUAUACGUCCGAUAGGAGAAAGAUUUAUCGGAGUUGGAUGAGCCCGCGUUGGAUUAGCUAGUUGGUGGGGUAAUGGCCUACCAAGGCGACGAUCAAUAGCUGGUCUGAGAGGAUGAUCAGCCACAUUGGGACUGAGACACGGCCCAAACUCCUACGGGAGGCAGCAGUGGGGAAUAUUGGACAAUGGGCGCAAGCCUGAUCCAGCCAUGCCGCGUGAGUGAUGAAGGCCUUAGGGUUGUAAAGCUCUUUCGUCCGGGACGAUAAUGACGGUACCGGAAGAAGAAGCCCCGGCUAACUUCGUGCCAGCAGCCGCGGUAACAC